rnacentral:misc_RNA from 1 species
AAGUCGUAACAAGGUCUCCGUAGGUGAACCUGCGGAGGGAUCAUUACCGAGUUCAUGCCCUUCCGGGUAGAUCUCCCACCCUAUGCUAUUAUUACCUUUGUUGCUUUGGCGGGCCGUCAGGCUUCGGUCCGGCUACCGGCUCAGGCUGGUAAGUGCCCGCCAGAGGACCCUCAACUCUGAAUAUCAGUGUCGUCUGAGUACUAUAAAGUAGUUAAAACUUUCAACAACGGAUCUCUUGGUUCUG